rnacentral:rRNA from 1 species
GACGGAGGAUGCAAGUGUUAUCCGGAAUCACUGGGCGUAAAGCGUCUGUAGGUGGUUUAAUAAGUCAACUGUUAAAUCUUGAGGCUCAACCUCAAAAUCGCAGUCGAAACUAUUAGGCUAGAGUAUAGUAGGGGUGAAGGGAAUUUCCAGUGGAGCGGUGAAAUGCGUAGAGAUCGGGAGGAACACCUGUGGCGAAGGCGGCCGACUGGGCCGACCCUGACGCUGAGGCGCGAAGGCGUGGGGAGCGAACGGG